rnacentral:rRNA from 1 species
AACGAACGCUGGCGGCAUGCCUAACACAUGCAAGUCGAACGAGACCUUCGGGUCUAGUGGCGCACGGGUGCGUAACGCGUGGGAACCUGCCCUUAGGUUCGGAAUAACUCCCCGAAAGGGGUGCUAAUACCGGAUAAUGUCUUCGAACCAAAGAUUUAUCGCCUUUGGAUGGGCCCGCGUUGGAUUAGCUAGUUGGUAGGGUAAAAGCCUACCAAGGCGACGAUCCAUAGCUGGUCUGAGAGGAUGAUCAACCACACUGGGACUGAGACACGGCCCAGACUCCUACGGGAGGCAGCAGUGGGGAAUAUUGGACAAUGGGCGAAAGCCUGAUCCAGCAAUGCCGCGUGAGUGAUGAAGGCCUUAGGGUUGUAAAGCUCUUUUACCCGGGAUGAUAAUGACAGUACCGGGAGAAUAAGCUCCGGCUAACUCCGUG